rnacentral:rRNA from 1 species
UACGAAGGGGGCUAGCGUUGUUCGGAAUUACUGGGCGUAAAGCGCACGUAGGCGGACAUUUAAGUCAGGGGUGAAAUCCCAGAGCUCAACUCUGGAACUGCCUUUGAUACUGGGUGUCUUGAGUAUGGAAGAGGUGAGUGGAAUUCCGAGUGAUAGAGGUGAAAUUCGUAGAUAUUCGGAGGAACACCAGUGGCGAAGGCGGCUGCACUGGUCCGAUUACUGGCGCUGAGGUGCGAAAGGCGUAGGGGAGCGAAAC